CAAAAAUAAAAAUAUGGUGAAUCUAGUAAGAAUUUAACUAAAGUAAGGAAGUUAAUAAAAAAAAUAUACAAAAAUGUUAAUGAUCACUUUGUAGCUAUAUUCCAUUCCGAAAAACUAGCCUUCCCUUUUCAUUUACGAAACCAGCAUCGUGAUUCUGUUGCUGAUGCAAACAAUUUAAAAUAGCUGAGUCCUCCGGGUGUCAAAAUACAAUUGUCACGUCUUCUAUGCCUCUUUACCCUGACAUCUUUUCUGAAGAUUCCAAACUUUAUAACUGAUGAAAUAAAAUUAAAACCCGGGAAUCUUUCAGAUAUGUAAUGUACUUGCAUGUAUGCCGGUCUCGACGGCAAUGGCAGAGCGGUCUUUUAGUAGAAUGAGAAGAGUGAAGACCUACUUAAGAAAUACAAUGAAAACGAAUCGUUUAUCUGGACUCGGUCUUUUGAACAUAUACCGAGAAAAAAAAUAAUUAAUGCAGACACGGUUUUGGACAUCUUUAGUAGAAAAAAAGAAAGGAAAUGGGC
rnacentral:lncRNA from 1 species